CUGGGCUGGGCUGAGGGGUCAGGGCCCUGAAGCUGAGGGCCCGGCCCCAGGGGCAGUCGAUUAGGGCCCCAGGGCUGAGAGUUGGGUUGGGGAGGUCAGGGCCCCGAGGCUGAGGGGUGGGCUCUAGGGGUUGGCUGGGUCUUGGGGGAUCAGGUCCCUGGUGCUGGGCUGGGCUGGGGGGUCAGGGCCCUGGAGCUGAGGGCCAGGCCCCAAGGGCAGUCGAUCAGGGCCCCAGGGCUGAGAGUUGG